rnacentral:rRNA from 1 species
AUAUGGAGGGUGCAAGCGUUACUCGGAAUCACUGGGCGUAAAGCGCGCGCAGGCGGCUAUUUAAGUUGGAUGUGAAAGCCUACGGCUCAACCGUAGAACUGCAUCCAAAACUAUUUAGCUAGAGUGUGGGAGAGGAAGAUGGAAUUAGUUGUGUAGGGGUAAAAUCCGUAGAGAUAACUAGGAAUACCAAAAGCGAAGGCAAUCUUCUGGAACACUACUGACGCUGAGGCGCGAAAGCGUGGGGAGCAAACAGGAUUAGAAACCCUAGUAGUCC